rnacentral:rRNA from 1 species
UACGUAGGGGGCAAGCGUUGUCCGGAAUCAUUGGGCGUAAAGCGCGUGUAGGCGGUUCGAUAAGUCUGGUGUGAAAGUCCAGGGCUCAACCCUGGGAUGCCGGUGGAUACUGUCGGGCUAGAGUGCGGAAGAGGCGAGUGGAAUUCCCGGUGUAGCGGUGAAAUGCGCAGAUAUCGGGAGGAACACCAAUUGCGAAGGCAGCUCGCUGGGACGUGACUGACGCUGAGACGCGAAAGCGUGGGGAGCAAACAGG